rnacentral:lncRNA from 1 species
GUGCGUGCGCCGCUCGGGCUGCGGCUUGGCGGGCGUUCUGUCCGCCGCCGCCGCCGUGCGCGCCUUGGGCGCGGGGCUGCUGGCCGCCGAAGCUCCGCGCCGCUCUGCGCCGCCCUCCAGCUUCUUGCGGUUCAGCUUGAAGGAUCCGUUGGCGCCGGUGCCCUUCACCUGCAGCAGCGUAUCGUUCUGCACCAGCGCCCGGAUAGAGUACUUGAGCCAACCAGGAGCCUGCUGCUGCUGCUUCGUGCCCUGUGUGCUGGAAUGCUGCCUUCAGGCUCAGGCAGAAACUUCAGUAAGUUCUGGACGGUCACCUGACUGAUGUCUAUUUGUCCUGUCAGUCUGAGGUAAGAUAGACAAAGCAGCAUGAGAAGAGUCCCUCUUGUGUCUAGUUUGUCUUUCUUGCUAAGAGUCAGGAAACUUCAAUACAAUUGAUAAACCCAAAAUUACCCACAGAGAUGCUGUUUUUUCCUAAGGCAUCUAAACAUCAAAUGAACUGUAAUUAGGCAAGAAUGCUUAGAACAUUGAGUUGUUACCGUAUUAGCCCUUCUCUAAUCCCUAACAUCUAAGAAUGCAUUCCAUAAAAACAUUAUUUCAUUCACAAAAGGAAAAUUUAAGAUUUUAAAAAGUGAGCUAGUGCAUAUAUUUUUACUAAACUUUUAAACUUUGCUUGCACUUUAAUAAAGUGAAAACUUAAGAGUUCUUUGGUUGAAUGGUGUUUUGCUGGGGCAAACGUGAAGGUGAAGGAAUGUUUAGCUGAAGCAGACACAGGAAAAGGAUGUUCUGCUCAACCAAGCACAUGAAAGGACACAUGAUGAGGGAUUCUUUGCUAACAACACACAUGUAUUGGUCCGAGGUACACUGUAUAGUUGAGCUGCAUUUGUUGGGACUCCAUAGAGAAACACAACAGAAAAACAUCUGGUGGUGUGCUGAGGUUUCUUGCCAUUUCUGCAAACUCGGGCUCAUGCGCAGUGAUGUCAGCUGAGACAGACAGCUGAGGCAAGACCUGUGGAUGAGAUGUGAUGUUUGGAGGGUAUAAAUAGAAUAUAAAUAGGACUUGAUGAACAGUGGCAGGGGAUGACUUGAUCUUCACUUCCCUGAGAGAGGCACAGCCAAGAACUUCCUGGCCAUUUCUCCCUGGUCCUUCCUGCUGACUCCAGCCAAAGCUGAGGCCUGGCUGUGUCUGCUAGGUAGUGCAAAUGCUUCUGAUUCCUGUUUGCUAAUCCCGGCUCUACCAAGCUAGACGGCUGGUGUAUCCGUGAGGUGUUUUCGAGUGGAUGGAGCUGCAACCUGUGAACCACACUGCCGAUAUCCAGUUAACACAGAUGGGAGUUGCUGCAAAGAACCUUUCUAAACAGGUCCACUUCCCGUGUAUCCUUUCUUUUCCACUAUCUCUGCUGGGUGGUGGGCUACAUGGGAUGUUAAAGUGUUUAAGAACCAUCAUUAAAAAUAGGUGUUUGAAAAAUUA